ACGCAACCUAAUCACCGCCCCGACAGUCCUUCGCUUAAUUAUGCGGCCGGUGCGGCUGCCCACUGGUACCUUUGGGCGCGCACAGGCCCACAGCCGGGGUCAUAGGUGGGGAGCGGAUACUGUCCAUCCUCAAUCCGGGCCCUCACA
rnacentral:snoRNA from 18 species